rnacentral:sRNA from 1 species
GUAAUUUAAGCUAACUAAUAUAUUUGCUAAUCUUAUACCUAUCAAAACCGACUAUCGUUUCUUAUCUCUAUAGUAUUUUUGCAAGACUUUUUGGUGGAAUUGGGUAUAAGUGUAUUCGGGUCAUAUGGUACAUUCUUCUAUUAAAUAAAUAUGGUGCACUCCUAUGUUAUUAGCUAAAAUGUUUAGAUUAUAAAUAUAGUCAUAUCAUAAAUAAAAUUAAUAUUAAUAAAAUAAAUGGCUUUUUGGCAAGACGGAUUUGGAGGGACGGGUUUUUGAAUCAACAUUAAUAAAAAAAUAAAAUAUAAUUACUCCACCGUUUCAAUACGGGUUAAAUCUUUAAUUUAUUAUUUUUUAAGACCAGUAAUAUGAAACAUAUCAAAUCAUCCUAAUUUAGAAAAGAUUAUAUAAAACCAAAAAUGUUAUGUAGUAUACUGAUAUGUAUAAUGUUACUAUAUAUAAAAUUAAACUAUAAAAUAUAAAUGUAUUAGAUAAUGAUACAAUUUGUAAAGCU